AUCCGUCGCAGAAGCUUUUUCUUCUUGUUUGACACGCCCUUCUCCUUCUGUGUAGCAUCUUGUUCUUCCUCUUCUGAAUCUGAAUCGACCUUUUUCUUCGAAUCAGCAUUUUGGGCAGAUUCAUCUUUUUUAUCAUUCUCCUCAGAACCAGCAAUUUCAUGGAAAUUAAAUCUCUCAAAGAUCUUCCUGAAUUCGUCAUCCAACCCAGCUUCCAACUCUGCCUUUUCUGGAACAUACUCAACCACCACUUGCUCGAAGGCCUGUUGAGGA
rnacentral:misc_RNA from 1 species